UCAAGAUGGCGCUGUGAGAACAACCCAGGAUUGAAGCCCUCGCUGGACGCACGGAGAGGAUUCCUCAUGAUUCUGGAUCUGAACUCAUCUGCUUUAUUACGGCUUUGAGGGCUCAAGGACUUACCAGCUGCACAGGCGACCAUGGGCAAGCAAGGGAUGAAAUGAGUCUGCAGAAGAGGUGUGACCUUCCGCCUUUGUGCUGGUCUCAAAGGAGAGGUGACAGGCUGCCGAUAGCCUAGAAGGAGGAUGUUAUCCUUAUUCAAUAAUAAAUCCCAGACUGACAGCUCAAUCCUAGUUUGCCUCUGAUUAAUUUUUUAUGCUUAGGGAUUAAAAUAUUUAAACAUGAUGUGUCUAUCAAAACUAUUUAAUAAAACUAUCCUAUUAAUUUAGGAAAAGUGACAAUUUCUAUAACAUGGUUAUGAACAUUUUCUGCGGUCAAUACAACUAAUUGGGAUAAUCUAUUUCUUUGCUUUGAAAAUGACUACAUAAUCAAAAUGACUGGUUUACAAAAAUUAAAAAUACAUAAAAAAAGAAAAGUAUCCAGAGCCCAUCAGUAGAGAUUUGUGAUUCAGUUGAUAAAAACUAGGGUUCAGGAAUAUGCAUUUUAAUUCAUUUAAGCUGAUUUUGAUGUGGGUGAUCAAAACAAACAUUUAAAUACAGCCUCUAAGGCCUUUUGCAAUUUUAACCCUCUCUUCUGUUCUAGUUUAUCACAAU
rnacentral:lncRNA from 1 species